UACGAAGGGAGCUAGCGUUGUUCGGAAUCACUGGGCGUAAAGCGCACGUAGGCGGAUGUGUCAGUCAGGGGUGAAAUCCCGGAGCUCAACUUCGGAACUGCCUUUGAUACAGCACGUCUUGAGUCCGAUAGAGGUGGGUGGAAUUCCUAGUGAUAGAGGUGAAAUUCGGUAAGAUAUUAGGGAAGAAACACCGGGUGGCGAAGGGCGGCC
rnacentral:rRNA from 1 species